rnacentral:hammerhead_ribozyme from 1 species
AUCCAGCAGACGAGUCCCCAAUAGGACGAAACUCGCGUCCUGGAU